AUGAGUCCUGAUUAGAUGGCAGGUCAUGGAUAAAUCAUCAAAUCUCAUCAUCAGUCAUAUAAUAAAUUCAAUCAGCUCAAGUCCAAUUACGAUCCUCAGAAUUUUUUUUUUCCAUCAAUCACACUGCUGUGGCCAUAGACUCUUGGACUUAACCUCUCAAAUCUCAUAGGACUACUCCUCUCUAUCAAAAUAAUAGAUUCUAUCUAGAUAUGUACCCUACUCCUAUAAUGGACCAACUAUCACCAACAUUCACUAUAAUGACUCAUUGAGAUCAUGUUUAUGUGUCAGUCAAACUCCAGCAGCCUACUAUGAGCAGUCAUACCAUCGUAGGUCAA
rnacentral:lncRNA from 1 species